UACAGAGGUCUCAAGCGUUGUUCGGAUUCAUUGGGCGUAAAGGGUGCGUAGGCGGCGUGGUAAGUCGGGUGUGAAAUCUCGGAGCUUAACUCCGAAACUGCAUUCGAUACUGCCGUGCUUGAGGACUGGAGAGGUGACUGGAAUUUACGGUGUAGCGGUGAAAUGCGUAGAUAUCGUAAGGAAGACCAGUGGCGAAGGCGGGUCUCUGGACAGUUCCUGACGCUGAGGCACGAAGGCCAGGGGAGCAAACGGG
rnacentral:rRNA from 1 species